UACGUAGGGUGCGAGCGUUGCCCGGAUUUAUUGGGCGUAAAGAGCUCGUAGGCGGUUCGGUAAGUCGGGUGUGAAACCUCCAGGCUCAACCUGGAGAUGCCACCUGAUACUGCUGUGACUCGAGUCCGGUAGGGGAGCGUGGAAUUCCUGGUGUAGCGGUGAAAUGCGCAGAUAUCAGGAGGAACACCGAUGGCGAAGGCAGGUCUCUGGGCCACUACUGACGCUGAGGAGCGAAAGCGUGGGGAGCAAACAGG
rnacentral:rRNA from 1 species